UUUUGACCCUAGAACUUGCGUUACCAGGUGGUACUCGUUGAAGAUGUGGAUAUUGGUAGUGGAAAGUGAAAUGACGCGACUCGUGAGGUAGCAAAUUUCCCCAGAGACAAGACCACACUUAAGCACUGGUUCACCAAUGAAUCGAUUGUGGACGUACCAAGCAGAAGCUGGUGGCACAUGGCGUGAAAGGAAUAGUGGGAGUGAUUGGUAGGAGCCAUCCUGGGGCAUCUCGUGCAGAACGAGCACGCAAGACUCAUCGCGUCAACGUGAUCAUUUACUCCUGAAGACUACUGCUGUUGCCAUAGAGGUAGAUGGUGCACCAAAGAAGCUAUUGAUUUGAUGUCUUCGGGCCUUUACUGGAGACUAAAGGGAGUGUGUGUAACGGUACUGUGGGGCCGGAACAGAGAUGGUAUCUGUUGUCAGAAACCAGCAUGGUUGGAGAAAAUGAGCAAUGGCAAUCUCCAGAGUAGGAAUUGAAGCGUGACCUACAGGCCACUGUUAUCUACAAGGCGAGUCUGAUGAAAUGUAGUUUUGUUCCCCAAUAAUUGAGUUUGAGUCCAUAAGCAUUGUUGGUGUUGUAUAAAUCGCAUACAAAUAAUCAUGUGGUGUACUUUGAGCAUUAGGCAUCAUGAGAGCCAGACUUACUAGUGUUGUAGUGGAACACUUAUUGCAAGUAUAGUCUUAGAAAAGUAAUGAAAGGGCCACCCAGUGGCUUAAAUAGAGGAAGGGUGUGGGAAAAAGGGUUGUUGUUGAUUGAUGAGAGUUUGAGGGAGUUUUUAGUGUAAAAAAUUGAAAUGUAGUGUCUGGAAAAUAAAGUAACUCUGUAUCUAUGGUUGUAAAUCCUAGCUCCUGUUUUCUUAAUGAGAGAAUGUGGGUUGUAAGGGGCAGGUUGGGUGAAUUAAAGUUGCAUCCCCCCCCCUCUGCAGACAAAUAUCUCAAGUUGUAAAAAAAAAAAAAAAAAAAGAUUGGUUUUAAA
rnacentral:lncRNA from 1 species